rnacentral:rRNA from 1 species
UACGGGGGGGGCAAGCGUUGUUCGGAAUUACUGGGCGUAAAGGGUUUGUAGGUGGCUUGUUAAGUCAGACGUGAAAUCCCUCGGCUUAACCGGGGAACUGCGUCUGAUACUGGAUGGCUUGAGUUUGGGAGAGGGAUGCGGAAUUCCAGGUGUAGCGGUGAAAUGCGUAGAUAUCUGGAGGAAUACCGGUGGCGAAGGCGGCAUCCUGGACCGAGAUUGACACUGAUGAGCGAAAGCUAGGGGAGCAAACGGG